CUUAAUUGAACUGGUUUAUGUCCGGUAAAAUUUUUUGACCAUCUUUUUUAAUGUCCGAGAAAAUUUUUCACACACACCACCCCGCUCGCCAACAUUUUUGGGGAAAAUAUUGUGUCAGAAAUAAAAAUUUGCAGCAGGGCAUCAUCGGUUUUGGCAGAGCAAUUCUGGCAGACACCCCCCGAAUUAAGAGGGGCUAGUUUCGCCCCUGUCUGUAUAUCUCUUCUCUGUGACAAAAUCAAUCAAGUUAUCCACGCGGCCCACGCAAAAAGACAACGCAAGCCAUAGCGGCCACAUAAUUGCGCCUGGGUACAAGGCUGGUCGCGUUUAUUUAGCAAAGUUUUCAAUAUCUGUUAGAUUAUCAAAUAUGUUCUAU